GAUGAACGCUGGCGGCGUGCUUAACACAUGCAAGUCGAACGGAAAGGCUCCUGCUUGCAGGGGUACUCGAGUGGCGAACGGGUGAGUAACACGUGGGUGAUCUGCCCUGCACUUCGGGAUAAGCCUGGGAAACUGGGUCUAAUACCGGAUAGGACGAUGGUUUGGAUGCCAUUGUGGAAAGUUUUUUCGGUGUGGGAUGAGCUCGCGGCCUAUCAGCUUGUUGGUGGGGUAAUGGCCUACCAAGGCGUCGACGGGUAGCUGGCCUGAGAGGGUGUACGGCCACAUUGGGACUGAGAUACGGCCCAGACUCCUACGGGAGGCAGCAGUGGGGAAUAUUGCACAAUGGGCGCAAGCCUGAUGCAGCGACGCCGCGUGGGGGAUGACGGCCUUCGGGUUGUAAACUCCUUUCGCUAGGGACGAAGCGCAAGUGACGGUACCUGGAGAAGAAGCACCGGCUAACUACGUG
rnacentral:rRNA from 1 species